UACAGGGGUGCAAACGUUGCUCGGAAUCAUUGGCGUAAGCGCACGUAGGCGGUUCGUUAUGUCGGAUGUGAAGCCCUUGGCUUAACCGAGGAAGUGCAUCCGAAACUGGCGAGCUAGAGUACUAAAGAGGAUCGCGGAAUUCCCGGUGUAGAGGUGAAAUUCGUAGAUAUCGGGAGGAACACCGGUGGCGAAGGCGGCGAUCUGGGUAGAUACUGACGCUGAGGUGCGAAAGCGUGGGAGCAACAGG
rnacentral:rRNA from 1 species